CUGGUUGCUGAGGGCAUUGUUUGGGGAGACUAUAGAACCUUUAGGAAGUAAGAGGAUGUAUGUCACAGUGGGCGGACUUUGAGAGUUUAUAACCUUGCCCCACUUCCUGCUUGCUCACUCAUGCUUCCCACCUCCAUGUGCUAACAAAAUGUGACCAUCCAGCUUCCUGUUUCCUGCUAACAAGCCAUGAUGGACUCCAGCCUUCUGGGAGUGUGAGGCAAAACCAACUAUUUCCUCCUGAAGUUGUUUUUGGUUGUGGUUUAUCACAGCCAUGGAAGGGCACGUGUCACUGAAAUCAUCACAUGAAGAGUGCAUGGGCUGAACCCUACAUUUCAGGACAUGCAUGAUAACUGUGUGAGCCAGACAACCAGAUUUGAUGAGGACUGCUGGCCAUUAUCCAGGUUUAGAUGGGUGUUCCUUGAAGAAUUCAAAUUGGACUAAGAAGACAUAGAGGAGUUUCUUCCUAUGAGUUUCAAGUGCUGGUGCUGAUCCAACAUCAACUUGUACCUUGUGAGACUCUUCUGUCCUUCUGAUUCUAGUGUCUAUUUGCAAGAAGCACCACAAUUGGUCCUAGUGCAGGGAGCCUCAUGAACCUGGAACUUCAAUAAGUAGGCUAAGCUAGGUGACCAGCAAGCUUCCAGGAUCCAGCUGUCUCCACCUCCCAUCUCAUGGCUGCUGGGAUUUUAACUGCAUCACCACACCUGGCCUUUUGCAUAGGUUCUGGAGACUCUUAAGGCCUUGUCAACUGAACCAUUUCUUUAGGCAUUUUUUUUUUUUUGUUUUGUUUUGUUUUGAGAUGCAGUCUAUGUAGCCCAGGCUACUCUCAAAGUCACAACCCUCUUACUUCAGUCCCCCAAGUGUUUGUUCCACUAAUGGCUAGCAUUACUUAGUCAUCACUGGUGUGUGUGUGUGUGUGUGUGUGUGUGUGUGUGUGUGUGUGUUUGCACAUGCGCACACAUGCAUACGUGCAUUGUAUACAUAUACAGGUGCACUAUUCAUGCCCAUGGUAGAGACUAAAAGGUGUCUUCCUCUACCCCUUUCCACCAAGUUCUCUUGCUAAACUAGAGCUUAUAGUGUUAGACAGACUGACCAGCCUAUCUCCAGAGCCCGUAGUGCUUCCAUGCAUGUGCUGCCACACCCAGCUUUUAUGUAAGUGCUGGGAUAUGAACCCAGGUCCUCAGGUUUGCCCUAUGCUCACUGAGCCAUCUCCCCACUUUGUCCUUAAAGUACUAAACCCUGUAUUGUUUUAUUGGCAGGUGGAUCACAGGAUAAACAGUUCAAAUGUCUCCUUCCCUUGCUCAUUUUACUCCUGUGAACUUGUUACCAUUUCAAUGUAAAAUGUCUCCCCCAGGGUUUAUGUUCUAGAACUUAGCUUCAAGAUGAGGGACUGUGGUGGUUUGAAUGAGAACGGCCCUCAUGGAUACAUACGUUUGAAUCCUUGGUCCCUCUUUGGUGGAAUAGUUUGGGAAGGAUCAAGAGGUAUGGGUUUGUUGGAGGGGUGUUUGAUGGGGGGGGGGCUUGGAGGUUUCAGUGUACUUUCUGCCUCCUGCUUGGGGAUCAAGAUUUGAAUUCUCAACUGUUCUGCGGCUAUGCCUUUGCUCCUUCAUCGUGGGCUCUCAUCCUCUGAAAUUAAGCAAUAUUAAGUGUCUUCUUUUAUAAGUUGCCUUGGUCAGGGUGUUUUAUCGAAGCAAUAGAAAAGUGACUAGGGACUUUGGGGAAGAGACUGGAUCCUGGGGAUUUUGACCCAGUCAAUGGAUCAACUCCUACUGGAGUCACAAUAUGGCAGCAUCAUUUGAUGAUGGGGAAAGGUAAGAAGUGAGGCCUGAUUGGAGGAAGCAGCUCCAUGGGGGACGUGGUCUUAUAUCUUGGCCUGCUCCCUUCCUGUUUUCCCUUCUCUGCUGCUCAGCAGGCAUUUCUCUGCUUCUGAUACUUUGCUUUCCACGGUCCUGAAAGCAAUGGCCUAAGCAGACUGUGAGCAGGAACCUAGGAAACUGUGAGCUGAAACAAAUCUUUGCUCCUUUUAUAAUAUGUUGAUCGCAUAUUUGUGACAGUACUGACAAGUCUGACACAGAGCUCUCAAGUAUAUCCGACAACACCCAGAGAAUCCACUGAGUUCCUUUCCUCCUAACUCAAAGCGCGUUUACUGCCAGGUACUGGUGAUUGUGUUGAAGACAUCAUGAAGGGUCUGGGAGAUGAAAUAGGAAACAGAUAUAUCUCUAUGCAUGGUAUUUGGAGAUAAAGGCUUUAUACUCAGAUGGAUAAAAGCUAACAUGAGGUUUCCUGUAGGCAGUAGAGCCCCCCCUGCCAAUGCUCUAACUUAGAUUCUUCAGUGUCCUCUCAAAUUCUGCUUAUGCUUGGAGUUCCCAGGUCUGCUGUGAAGGGCUCAGCCUCUCUGGGAAGCUUGCUGAAGACCCUUGUUCUCUGCUGACUGCAGGGGCAGAGCUGUGGAGCUCUAGAUCGCUAAGGUUAGGGAGCAGUUUCUAGGCCAGGCUAUAACUCUCCCCAUAACUCUCCUGUGUGCUGGUGGGAGUGUGAGCUCUUAGGGCUAUCCUUGUCAGCAGAACACUGCUUCCAGCCCAGGGGAAGAACAGACCUACCCUCUUCUGGUCUCAGGGAGAAGCAGCCUUGACAACUGGAACCCUAAGGGAAGGAGGCUGUGCCUGGAAGUUCCCCAUGGAUUCAACCUGUAGUUGUCCUCAGUGAGGAGGGUUAGUUAAGUCACCAACUGCUCCAUGGUUCCAAUGAGAACAUUAGAAGUGUGAGACUGGGUGUAGAGUCUGGAGAAAUGGGUCACUAAUUCUGUGGCCAAGUUGGGGAUGCUUGUUCCCCACUGUCUGCUAGACACUGCAAACAUACUCACUUUCACGUGUGUGUGUGUGUGUGUGUGUGUGUGUGUGUGUGUGAUGUAUGUGAGGUUAGAGAUCAGAGGUCAACCUGAGAUGUCCUUCCUCAAUGUCAUCCACCUUGUUUUAUGAGACAGGGUCACGUCAUAGACUUGAAGCUUGCUGACUUGACAAGCCUAGCUGGCUAGCAGACUGAAGGACCCACCAAUCCCUGCCUUCCCAGAGCUGGAAUGACAAGUGUAUGCUAGCUACCAUGAUACCUGGCUUUUUAUGUGGGUUCUGGGUUUUGAUCUUAAGUCCUCAUGCUGUGCUAUCUUCCCAGUCCCCACAAGCUUUUUGAAAGGUACCCUUUCACCAAGAAAACAGUCAAGACCUAGAGAAGUCUUAACACCCCCUCCUCCAUCAUACAACUGGACAUUCAGCGUAGACCUCUUAGACUCUGAAGGUGGUAACAGUAAGUCCUUGUAUGUGUUAGGAUGCAGUUAGGCUUGUCUCGUGGAAGGACUGCCUUCCUGCCUCAUUCUUGUAUCAUGUCCAGCAUCUCUACAGGAAAAGGAAGGGGAAGGCAAUCCAGAGACAGAGGCUGUGGAAGGCAGAGAGAGUACCUGCUUCAUAGCAAAAGGGGCCCGUGCUGAAUUCCAGUUGUGUGACCUUGGACGGCCUAAGGAACUUCUUGAGCUCCUGUGACUGGAGCUAGUCUCUGCAGACUUUCAGGGACUCUCCAGAGUCAAUCUUUCCCCAUCGUGUGCUUCCUACAGCCAGGCUACUUCACUUCUUUGCUACCUUUUGGCUUGACAAAUGAGG
rnacentral:lncRNA from 1 species